ensembl:lncRNA
ACUUGUGGGGUCCUAAAAAGAAAACUUCUUGAAACAAAUGCCUGGGCUACAUCAAAGGCUGCCUGUUCAGCUCAGACUGAGUCCUUCACCUUCCCAAAUGAGCCCAUUAACAGGAGAACAGCGCGCCGGAACAUUCCACCUUCUGCUCCAUUUGCAUUUCACACGAAGGACUAGGGAAAAUGUAGCUAUGUCUUCUUCAUCCCUGCAGACGCUCAGACAGUCUUUUGAAUGAAUGAAUGAAUGAAUGAAUGAAUGAAUUAAUUAAUGAAUGGAUGAAUUGAAAAUAGAUCAAACACUUUAAUGAAAGAAGUGAAAAAAAAUCUAAAUGGAGGGGGAAAGCAUAAUCUAUGAAAGAGUUCUUCAUUCAGAACUAUUACAGACUGGAUUUUGUCUAAAACUAGUCUCAACUCUCAAAGUGAAGAUCUCGAGUCAGCUACGGGCUACAAGCUAAGCGAGCAGAAUGCUAAUGUCUCGAAAUCGGGCAUCGUGGCCAUGGAGCAACCCUACCAGAAUCACUGGAGAUGGGCUCCAGCUGUGCAUCCAGCAUUUUAAUUGUACCACUUCUUUGAUCCUGUUUUCGAACCAUUGGCUUAUUAAUUAUUAAAUGCUCAAAAGAACAUCCUAGCCAGCCAAAACGCCACAAAAAAAAAAAACUUAACCUCUUUUAUUUGACUUUUCCUAGUAAACAAAAUAAAAGUGUGCUGGUGCAUUCACUGAGCCUACCCCUUUAACUUCCCCCACAACUUCCCUUCUUUUCCACAUGAGAAGGCCCAACAGAAACCUUCCUAGUCAAAGGCAUCAUACUGUGUAAAAUACUUCAACUGCAAGAUAUAUAUAUAAAUUCUGAUUUGAGGUGGCUCAUGAGAGAUUCCUUCUGCAGAUAUAUAUAUAAAGAUAUAUAUAAAUUCUGAUUUGAAGUGGCUCAUGAGAGAUUCCUUCUGCAGAUAUAUAAAGAUAUAUAUAAAUUCUGAUUUGAAGUGGCUCAUGAGAGAUUCCUUCUGCAGAUAUAUAAAGAUAUAUAUAAAUUCUGAUUUGAAGUGGCUCAUGAGAGAUUCCUUCUGCAGAUGUGUGCUGAUAGUUUUGUUUCAGUACUGAGCAGAUGAAAAGAGGCAGUGUUCUGUAUGCGUGCAUGUCAUUUUGUGCAGUCUGUUGGGCAUUAAACAUAUAGAAUUAGUUGCAAGUAAUAGACAUCAGAAAGUCUGGCCAUGGACAGAAAGUUAAAAAAGAGAGAGAGAAAGAAAGAGAUAGAGAGGGAGAAAGAAGGAGAGGAAGACACCUUCAAAAUAACAUGCCAGUCGAUACAACGACCACUGUUUUAACAGCACAACUGGAAUGACAUCACCUCAGUGGAACACUAGCAUAAUCAAGACAGACUAACAGUGUGAGAGACAGCGAGAAAGAGAAAAGUGUUGUGUACGUCUGUUUGUGUGUCUGUGUCAGAGUCAAAGAGAGAGAGAGAGAGAGAGAGAGCGAGAGAGAGAGAAAGAGAGGAGGAAGGAAUAGAGGUCAAGGGUGACUCACAUUCAAGGGUGGCGGGUGGGGGAGGCUGGGUCACGGCAGGACAGUGCUCCUCAAAUUUGCACUCUGCACCAGAGAGAGAGAGAGAGAGAGAGAGAGAGAGAGAGAGAGGAAAAUAAACACAUACCAGACAGGUUAAAUAAUACUGCACAAACAGGUUGCAGCAAUGCAUAGUGCCC